rnacentral:lncRNA from 1 species
UAAUGUAAGAGAGAAGCAACCAGUUGCGGAACAGCUAAUCUUUCACUGAGAGGGCAUGCCGUCUAUCAGCAGACAUAUUUCCUGGAGUAGAGGGUGCGCUGUGCGCUCUUCAGGCAGGACCUGACCACGCUGCUCACGCAGUCAUGAUACGCCGUCUUUUAAUAACAGAGAUGGGCAAGAACUGUUAUGCUGAUUCCCAUCCAGAUCUCAGGAGUCUCUAAGUCUGAAGAUAUUUGAACUCUGAGUUGCGGGUUAAACCCUCUCUUAGUUCAGAAGAAACUAUCCUUAGAAAUAGGGAGUUCCCAGGUUUCUGGACAUCCUGAAGUGAGAAGAGUCCACUGCCACUUCUUGUGCCACUUCUGCAGCUGGCUGUCGCAGCAACCUGUACCACAAAUGUCACUCUUCCUUGUGCUUUCACCACCAGACUGCAUGGUAAACUAUCUCAAACCUGCUCUCUUUCUACUGAAAAAAACCAGGAUGGAGCAAACAGGAUAA